GACGAACGCUGGCGGCGUGCCUAAUACAUGCAAGUCGAGCGGACUUUCAAGAAGCUUGCUUUUUGAAAGUUAGCGGCGGACGGGUGAGUAACACGUGGGCAACCUGCCUGUAAGACGGGGAUAACUCCGGGAAACCGGGGCUAAUACCGGAUAAUAUCUUUCUUCGCAUGAAGGAAGGUUGAAAGGCGGCGCAAGCUGCCGCUUGCAGAUGGGCCCGCGGCGCAUUAGCUAGUUGGUGAGGUAACGGCUCACCAAGGCGACGAUGCGUAGCCGGCCUGAGAGGGUGGUCGGCCACACUGGGACUGAGACACGGCCCAGACUCCUACGGGAGGCAGCAGUAGGGAAUCUUCCGCAAUGGACGAAAGUCUGACGGAGCAACGCCGCGUGAGCGAAGAAGGUCUUCGGAUCGUAAAGCUCUGUUGUCAGGGAAGAACAAGUACCGUUCGAAUAGGGCGGUACCUUGACGGUACCUGACCAGAAAGCCACGGCUAACUACGUGCCAGCCGCCGCGGUAA
rnacentral:rRNA from 1 species